rnacentral:lncRNA from 1 species
AUGCAGUCUUCCAGUAGCGAGAGCAGUUGGAUCAGCAGUCCGGAUCACGCCGCAGGGAGCAGCAGCAGUAGCCAUUGUGGAGUGGAUGUUAUCGGGCCCCACGGCGGCCCCGGCCCCUGCAGUCCCCACAGUGCCUCUAAGCAGUCGGACCCCAUGGACCUGCUGUCCUACCAGCACAUCAACCGUGUCCUGAGGGAAGCCCAUUUCCAAAGCUUACAGAGCCGAGCUCAGUCCAAGCACAGUGGCUCAGAGGUUCUGCCGGAUCUCUUGCCUCCCAACCAUCACUGAAGCUGGUUGCUCAUCCAGGCAUCAGACCUUCGAAGCCCUGCGGAGGUUUUCUUGUGUGCUAUUCAAAUUCUGCAUUUUAAAGAUUGUUGUUUAUUUUACUAUACCUUUUUGUAUUGAAAGAUGUACAUUGCAUUUUACAUUCAGAUCAUCUACAUUUCUAAAUAAAGAUGGAUGUUCUUAAGCAAACCUGUGUGCUUAAUUUUUGCGAUAGAAAGAAAAAAAAGUCUACAAUUAAAUAGCUACACCACCAGUAAUCCUGAAAUGAGAUCUACCAUUUAGAGAAGUAACUGUUACCUUCUUCAGGAAUGAGUGCAUUUUUGCACUUACAGUUCCAUCAUCCUGAAGUCAGUGGUUUUUGGUUAAAUGCCUGAAAAUAAGGUCUGUGGUUAACACAAGUUCAGGAUAUUUUCAAGUAUUAUUCAACAGUAUAAAACCAUCCGUAUUAGCCUGGUGAUAUAUAUUUUUUUCUUGUCUUGAAAAACACAGUUGUUAACAAGUGUCUAAAUGGGUUACCGAGGCUAUAUAUAUACACACACACACAAUGAUAUUGUAAUCAUAAUACUUCAUAAUAUGUUUGGAGAUUAUUUGAAGUAUUGUGGUAUCAAAUGUCAUAAAUUUAGAUUAUCUUUAACAAAAUGUGUAAGAAACAUCUUAUUUUUGGCAAUAAACAAAAAGGCAAUGGAAAUAUCCUAUUGGCUUUUUGUCGAGGUAAACCAAAAUGAUGCUAACUUCUGUAUUGGCCUACAAAAUAUGUCAUCACUGUAGUGCUCUAUUUCGCUCAACAGCGAACGUCCACUAGCUUAAACAUUGAGAAUUACUUAACUGAGUCUCAUCUUAAAUAUUGCUUAUUGUACUAUAAUCCCAGAAUAAAUGGUUUUAUAAUCUAUGUCUCAUAGUUUUGCAUAGUACUGUCAUUUCUGAUUUGAUUGCCACUUGCAAUGCUUCAUGG